UUAGACCCAAAGACAGACUGGUGGGUCUUGGGGUCUUGUCUGAAGUUGAGAAGAAGACUUCUCCCUCCUCUUGCUUCCCGUUCCAUGUCGCAAUUGGAUCCAAGACCUGGUUAAACUUAGAUUUCCAAGGACAAGCAGAAACGAGUCCCAGAGUGAUCAAGGCGGAGAUUUACAGAAAGAGAGAAGAAUAUCAGCGCAUUCUGCAGCCAUAUUACAGACAUUGCAAGAGAAUUGAAGUUAAUCUUGAUUUCACUCUGGCGGCAGGAUAUGAUCCUAGGCAGAUAACAAUUGAAGAAGCC